rnacentral:rRNA from 1 species
GACGAACGCUGGCGGCGUGCCUAAUACAUGCAAGUCGAACGCAGUGGGGACGGGUGAGUAACACGUGGGUAACCUCCCAUCAGAGGGGAUAACACUUGGAAACAGGUGCUAAACCGAUACUGAUGGAUGGACCCGCGGGGCAUUAGCUAGUUGGGGAGGUAACGGCUCACCAAGGCCACGAUGCAUAGCGGACCUGAGGGGGUGACCGGCCACACGGGGACUGAGACACGGCCCAGACGCCUACGGGAGGAAGCAGUGGGGAAUCGGCGGAAAUGGACGAAAGUCUGAACGAGACACGCCGCGUGAGUGAAGAAGGGUUUCGGAUCGUAAAGCUCUGUUGUUAGAGAAGCGGUAUCUAACCAGAAAGCCACGGCUAACUACGUGCCAGCAGCCGCGGUAAUAC